GACGAACGCUGGCGGCGUGCCUAAUACAUGCAAGUAGAACGCUGAAGGAGGAGCUUGCUUCUCUGGAUGAGUUGCGAACGGGUGAGUAACGCGUAGGUAACCUGCCUGGUAGCGGGGGAUAACUAUUGGAAACGAUAGCUAAUACCGCAUAAUAGCAGUUGUUGCAUGACAACUGUUUGAAAGGUGCAAUUGCACCACUACCAGAUGGACCUGCGUUGUAUUAGCUAGUUGGUGGGGUAACGGCUCACCAAGGCGACGAUACAUAGCCGACCUGAGAGGGUGAUCGGCCACACUGGGACUGAGACACGGCCCAGACUCCUACGGGAGGCAGCAGUAGGGAAUCUUCGGCAAUGGACGGAAGUCUGACCGAGCAACGCCGCGUGAGUGAAGAAGGUUUUCGAAUCGUAAAGCUCUGUUGUAAGAGAAGAACGAGUGUGAGAGUGGAAAGUUCACACUGUGACGGUAUCUUACCAGAAAGGGACGGCUAACUACGUG
rnacentral:rRNA from 1 species